rnacentral:lncRNA from 1 species
UUUUUCAAAUGCAAAUAAAAAUACAUAUCGCCUAAUAAAGUAUGCACAAGAUUCCUAAUCAAGAAAAUUCUAAUGGCGUUAACAUCGACAAAACCAUCGAUAUUAGGGAACAAAGCCAAACCAUAGAUGAGCAACACAAAGAUGGAUUCAAAAGCAUCCACGCUACCGGCUUGAGCAAAGGCAGUAGCUUCCUUUAUGAGGAACUCAGAAGUCAAUCC